GAAUGAAGGAAGCGUGGUAAUAUGCAAAGAAAUUGAUUUGGAUCUCCAGGCCUAUCCUCUCUGAUGCUUUUCGGCUUUGAUUUGGGGGCAUGAUUCCCUAGCAAAACG